AUGCAGUCGAGCGGAACGAGUUAUCUGAACCUUCGGGGAACGAUAACGGCGUCGAGCGGCGGACGGGUGAGUAAUGCCUAGGAAAUUGCCCUGAUGUGGGGGAUAACCAUUGGAAACGAUGGCUAAUACCGCAUGAUGCCUACGGGCCAAAGAGGGGGACCUUCGGGCCUCUCGCGUCAGGAUAUGCCUAGGUGGGAUUAGCUAGUUGGUGAGGUAAGGGCUCACCAAGGCGACGAUCCCUAGCUGGUCUGAGAGGAUGAUCAGCCACACUGGAACUGAGACACGGUCCAGACUCCUACGGGAGGCAGCAGUGGGGAAUAUUGCACAAUGGGCGCAAGCCUGAUGCAGCCAUGCCGCGUGUGUGAAGAAGGCCUUCGGGUUGUAAAGCACUUUCAGUCGUGAGGAAGGUAGUGUAGUUAAUAGCUGCAUUAUUUGACGUUAGCGACAGAAGAAGCACCGGCUAACUCCGUGCCAGCAGCCGCGGUAAUACGGAGGGUGCGAGCGUUAAUCGGAAUUACUGGGCGUAAAGCGCAUGCAGGUGGUUUGUUAAGUCAGAUGUGAAAGCCCGGGGCUCAACCUCGGAAUUGCAUUUGAAACUGGCAGACUAGAGUACUGUAGAGGGGGGUAGAAUUUCAGGUGUAGCGGUGAAAUGCGUAGAGAUCUGAAGGAAUACCGGUGGCGAAGGCGGCCCCCUGGACAGAUACUGACACUCAGAUGCGAAAGCGUGGGGGAGCAAACAGGAUUAGAUACCCUGGUAGUCCACGCCGUAAACGAUGUCUACUUGGAGGUUGUGGCCUUGAGCCGUGGGCUUUCGGAGCUAACGCGUUAAGUAGACCGCCUGGGGAGUACGGUCGCAAGA
rnacentral:rRNA from 1 species